CUCUUCGGGGAUGAUUAAACCGGCGCACGGGUGAGUAACACGUGAGUGACCUGCCUUUUAGACUGGAACAACUUACCGAAAGGUGAGCUAAUGCCGGAUGAGUUAUAUAAGUGCAUGUUUAUAUAGGAAAAGUUGGGGAGACCUGACGCUGAAAGAUGGACUCGCGUCCCAUUAGCUAGUUGGUAGGGUAAUGGCCUACCAAGGCGACGAUGGGUAGCCGGCCUGAGAGGGUGGCCGGCCUCACUGGGACUGAGACACGGCCCAGACUCCUACGGGAGGCAGCAGUGGGGAAUUUUGCGCAAUGCUCGUAAGAGUGACGCAGCGACGCCGCGUGAAUGACGAAGGCCUUCGGGUCGUAAAGUUCUUUCGACAGGGAAGAAAAUGCCUAUAAGUAACUGUGUAUGUAUUGACGGUACCUGUAUAAGCAGCCCCGGCUAACUCCGUGCCAGCAGCCGCGGUAAUACGGAGGGGGCGAGCGUUGUUCGGAGUGACUGGGCGUAAAGAGCACGUAGGCGGUGUUGUAAGUCAUUAGUCAAAGACUAGAGCUCAACUUUAGUAAGGCUAGUGAUACUAUAAUACUAGAGUAUCAGAGAGGAUUGCAGAAUUCCUGGUGUAGCGGUGAAAUGCGUAGAUAUCAGGAGGAAUACCGUUAGCGAAGGCGGCAAUCUGGCUGGAAACUGACGCUGAGGUGCGAAAGCGUGGGUAGCAAACAGGAUUAGAUACCCUGGUAGUCCACGCUGUAAACGAUGGAUGCUAGGUGUUGGGCUUUUAAGUUCAGUGCCGC
rnacentral:rRNA from 1 species